UUUUUCUAAUAGCCAAAGUUUGUGAAAUUUUUUAAUUAUGUUUCCUAUACACACUAAAACUUUGAAGCUUUAUCUUUUAAUUUGUUUUGUUUAUCCUAAUACGAGUUUUACUCAAAGCAAGAGUCAUGCUUAUUUAAACUUCUCAAAGAUUAAUAUAUAUAUGUGUGGUACAGACGUAGGUUUAGGGGCAUCACAUUUACUUUUUCUUUUUUUUCUUUUUUUUUGGGUUCGCAUAGAGGAGUAUUUUUUUCAAGAAUAUUUUGGAUACGUCGUUUACGUCAAUUGUUUUUCAAAAACAUGUUUAAGGUGAGGGAUUAUAUGCUUGUGGUUAUAUUCAUGUAUGUUUUUAUAUGCUCUUAUUUCAUGUUUGAUUAUACUUGCUCAGCCAUGUUGAAAUACAUGUUCAGCCAUGUUGAAAUACAUGUUCAGCCAUGUAGAAAUACAUGUUCAGAAAUUCAGCCAUGUUGAAAUACAUGUUCAGGGGCUUUCAGUUCGCCCAUCAGAUUAUCAGUAUAUGUG
rnacentral:lncRNA from 1 species